ACAACAACAAGCUGUUUGUAGAGAGUUACUCAGUUUCCAUUUUAUUUUGCAAAAUUGUUAAAGAUUGGCAAGUCGUGGGGAUGGAGGGAGAGAUGCUAUUCAUCCUGUCCUGAAAGGUCUGCAAAGGUCUUCCUGGGAUCGUGAUGGUUCAUCCUGGCGGAUCCCCCCAGUCACCCAGCCUCCAUCAUGGCAGAGAAAUCGGUACUUCCAGCUUCUUCUCUUCCGAAAUCAGUGACCCCAGCUGCAGGCUGCUCUUGUCCUGAAUGGAAGAUGAAAACCAUGUCUAUGUAUCAGUGUUAAUCCUCAAAGUGUAACAGACUACUGCUGCGAGCAUUGCAGUUGAGAUCAG
rnacentral:lncRNA from 1 species